GUGCGUGUGUAUUGGCAUGGAUCCGGCCCAAAACCACGCCACACGUGGAAUGCGGCCCAGCGAGGUCCAAAUUCGCAUUUGGCUGCCUGCGCGUGCGAGUGGAUCGCGGCCCGAUCCACGUCGACCCACGGGUGAGAGAAAAAUCUCCACCUGGAGCGUGCAACGGGCGAGCACAGGAGUUGCGCGCGACCUCACGUCUGAGACGUUGAGUGCUCCUCCUCGCGCCGCCGCGUCUCGCCGUCCACCGCCUUCUCGUCGUCGUGCAGCUUCUCGCUCGAUCCAGGGUUCCACGGCCGCGGCGGCGGCGGCGGCUGCUGCUGCUCCCAAGAUCAGUGGGUGGAGAUCAAUGACUGUUGCUCCCAAGAUCAGGCAGCGUCGGCUGCACUCAUCCAAGAUCAGUGGGUGGUAUACAAGGAGAACCUGCUCCUCAACCUUGGCCCCAAGAAGACUGAAUUGUGCCCUCUGUCGCCUGACCAAGUACCUGGUUCAAACCUUGUAUAUUUUCCUUUUUUUUUAUUAGUGACCGAUGGAUGGUGUUCACGGUGGUGGGCUCGUGGAUCAGUUUUCCUUUAUUCUGUGUGUUCAGUUUCAUCUUGUGCUCCAGAAAUUGGUAACUCCACACUUGACGUUUGAUCAGAUAUUUUCUUCAUUAUUUUCAGAACUAUUGGCAGUAAAGCUUUCAAAUGUCACCA